AUUAUUUUUAGGAAUCAUCGCUACUCGAGGUGCCAUCAUUAGAUGGGAACAACCAAAUAAGACAGUUGGCUGCUGACAAUGAGCGGCUGUUUGAGCCGGCCACCUAUAAAUUUACUUUUCAGCAGGAGGCAAAUCCCUCUCAGAUUUUGCAUCAAAACAUCACAUGCUCCGAGAUUGACAAGAGACCUCAGGAUGAGGGCAGGUCUGCCUUUGUUAGCACUGCAAACCAAAAUCGACCCGCGGCAAAGCAGUCCAGCUACUCAGUCAUCUGGAAUGGGCUUAUCCAGACGUUCAGUGUGAAGCAGUUUGUAGCCAAAGCAUAUCCUGUUUCUGGUUUUGGUCCUCGUCUCUGUCAGGCUUUACCAACAGUUCUUCGGUCAGCGGGAUGUAUUCUCCCCAAGAAUGUCUGGGCUUAUGUAGACAGCAUAUGGCCAACAAAGAGGGAGGUAUUUUCAUUCUUCCUUUGUUUAGGGAUGGUUAUUCAUAUCCUAACAAACCAACUUCCACUUCCAAAUAUAGGAUGCAAGCAGUGGUGGGAUUCAACCAGUUGGAACCUAUCUGGGA